GCUGAUUGCGCACAGGCACACCGCACACCAACCAAAAGUCCGAAAUUGCUAAUAAAGAAAAACCCCCGUCGCCACCACCAUCGUCCACUACCAGCAUUACCUCCGCCACCGCCGUCGUACGAAAGAGAAAAUCAACUAUGGAGUCGCCUGGGAAGUGGCUUGAGAAGGAAUUAAACGAAUUGUGCAAACGAGUUGAAACCGCUUUAGACUUCGAUUCUGAUAUGAUUUCCGGCCUCGUUUCUUACUGUGAAUUCGCUCCUCCUAUUGACGCCAAAGAAUACCUUGAUAACAUUAUUGGCGAGGAAGCAGGCAAAACUGUGAUACAGGAAUACUUGAGACGAAGGGGUUUCUCAGCAUCACCUGAAGUUGUGGGUGGUCCUCCUUCCACAUUACAGGCAUAUGUCAAGCCAAGCGCUGAUGAAGGCUUGACCAGUGGAGCUAAGAAACCAUCAAGGGUACAGAAAGAGGCUUCAGCUUCUAAUAGCCAAUUUAAUCCGGUGAAAACACAGGUUGCAGAGUCGGGAAACAAGCAACAGAGCAAUUCUAGAAAGAAAAAGGGUGGGAAGGUUAUUUCACUUGCAGAAGCUGCCAAAGGAUCUAUCGUAUAUCAGCAAGGCAAACCUUGCUCUUGCCAGGCACGCCGGCAUAAAUUGGUGAGCAACUGCUUAUCUUGCGGUAAAAUAGUAUGUGAACAGGAAGGGGAAGGGCCUUGUAAUUUUUGUGGGGCUCUAGUGCUGAAAGAAGGAAGCACAUAUGCUGGUUUGGAGAUGUCUUCUGUACCUGAAACGGAAGCUGAGGUAGCUGCAAAUGCUUAUGCCAAGAGACUUGUUGAUUUUGAUCGGAAUGCAGCAGCACGUACAAGUGUCAUUGAUGACCAAAGUGAUUACUAUGAUGAGGGUAAUAGCUGGCUAUCAAUCGAGGAAAAAGAACUUUUGAGGAAGAAACAAGAAGAGAUUAAAGCAGAUGAGGAGGCGAAACGAAAGAGAGUAGUCGUGGCUUUCGACUUGGUUGGCCGUAGGGUAUUGUUGAACCAAGAUGACGCUUCAGAACUAGAAUCUGGGCUCAACAUUCUACGGCCAUCUGAUAAGAAAGAAGUGAGUCGAAUCAAACCAAACCCCAGCCUUCAGGUGCAGCCAGUUUUCAUUGAUCCCGGCCCUAGGGAAAAGCCUCUCAAGGACAAGCGCUCUAGCAAAGGCCUUAAUAAAGGAUUGUGCUUAGAGAUUAGUGGGAGGGUGCAACAUGAUCGCAAUGAGUUGAAGCGUAUUGUGGGGGAGCCACUUGGAUCUUCUUCAGCAAAUGACCAUCUGCAAGGACAGUCUUGGAAUGGUGUGGCACGUAUGGAAGAUGAUGCUGAAUGCUCAGCAUACUAGGAGGUGUGAAUGCUUACAUAGUGAUUAUUAGAGCUUCUAAGUUCUAACUAUACAAUUGGAUGAGAUCACUUUUCUGCUUCAAGUACUUGCUAAUCAAUAGAAGUGCAUAUUCUGCUGCCCUGUUAUCAGUGAGGAACUUCUUUAUAAGGGGUUAGGUUGUGAGAUAUGUCCAAUUACCACCAGACGGAGUUGAUGUUGAGUUGCUGCAUGAUGCCACGAAAAGAGAAGCUCGAGGCGGCUAAAUCUGGCGCGUGGUGUUAUAUGUGUAGCAAGCAUUAUAUCGUGAAUGUCCUUAAAGCUCCUUUUUUGCUUGGUCAUUAGUAGGUGGCUCUGGAGGUGUCCUUAUUUGGUCUGGGGCAAGUUAGUUUACCAAAUUGUAAUGAUAUCAACAAUGUGACCUUAUACAUUUGUGAUGGUUAAUGUUUGGAAAUGCUGUGAUUAUGAGAUACGCUUGCACAAGUGACUGAGAUUGACAUACUGAACUUGUAGUGUUAUACUUUUA